AGAGUUUGAUCCUGGCUCAGGACGAACGCUGGCGGCGUGCCUAAUACAUGCAAGUAGAACGCUGAAGAGAGGAGCUUGCUCUUCUUGGAUGAGUUGCGAACGGGUGAGUAACGCGUAGGUAACCUGCCUUGUAGCGGGGGAUAACUAUUGGAAACGAUAGCUAAUACCGCAUAACAAUGGAUGACACAUGUCAUUUAUUUGAAAGGGGCAAUUGCUCCACUACAAGAUGGACCUGCGUUGUAUUAGCUAGUAGGUGAGGUAACGGCUCACCUAGGCGACGAUACAUAGCCGACCUGAGAGGGUGAUCGGCCACACUGGGACUGAGACACGGCCCAGACUCCUACGGGAGGCAGCAGUAGGGAAUCUUCGGCAAUGGGGGCAACCCUGACCGAGCAACGCCGCGUGAGUGAAGAAGGUUUUCGGAUCGUAAAGCUCUGUUGUAAGUCAAGAACGAGUGUGAGAGUGGAAAGUUCACACUGUGACGGUAGCUUACCAGAAAGGGACGGCUAACUACGUGCCAGCAGCCGCGGUAAUACGUAGGUCCCGAGCGUUGUCCGGAUUUAUUGGGCGUAAAGCGAGCGCAGGCGGUUUGAUAAGUCUGAAGUUAAAGGCUGUGGCUCAACCAUAGUUCGCUUUGGAAACUGUCAAACUUGAGUGCAGAAGGGGAGAGUGGAAUUCCAUGUGUAGCGGUGAAAUGCGUAGAUAUAUGGAGGAACACCGGUGGCGAAAGCGGCUCUCUGGUCUGUAACUGACGCUGAGGCUCGAAAGCGUGGGGAGCGAACAGGAUUAGAUACCCUGGUAGUCCACGCCGUAAACGAUGAGUGCUAGGUGUUGGAUCCUUUCCGGGAUUCAGCGCCGCAGCUAACGCAUUAAGCACUCCGCCUGGGGAGUACGACCGCAAGGUUGAAACUCAAAGGAAUUGACGGGGGCCCGCACAAGCGGUGGAGCAUGUGGUUUAAUUCGAAGCAACGCGAAGAACCUUACCAGGUCUUGACAUCCCGAUGCUAUUUCUAGAGAUAGAAAGUUACUUCGGUACAUCGGUGACAGGUGGUGCAUGGUUGUCGUCAGCUCGUGUCGUGAGAUGUUGGGUUAAGUCCCGCAACGAGCGCAACCUCUAUUGUUAGUUGCCAUCAUUCAGUUGGGCACUCUAGCGAGACUGCCGGUAAUAAACCGGAGGAAGGUGGGGAUGACGUCAAAUCAUCAUGCCCCUUAUGACCUGGGCUACACACGUGCUACAAUGGUUGGUACAACGAGUUGCGAGUCGGUGACGGCGAGCUAAUCUCUUAAAGCCAAUCUCAGUUCGGAUUGUAGGCUGCAACUCGCCUACAUGAAGUCGGAAUCGCUAGUAAUCGCGGAUCAGCACGCCGCGGUGAAUACGUUCCCGGGCCUUGCACUCACCGCCCGUCA
rnacentral:rRNA from 1 species